rnacentral:rRNA from 1 species
AUGGAUUGCAACACACUGAACUGGAACAUCAGGGGCCUCAACAACCCCGCAAGAAGAACAGUUGUUAUAGAUUUCGUCAGGAACCAUAACUGUAGACUAGUCUGCCUCCAGGAGACUAAAUUGGAUUCGAUAAACAAUGCCAUCAUUGCUGAAACAUUGGGAUCAAGAUUCAUUGACAAUUUCUCUUACCUUCCUGCUAUUGGUACACGAGGUGGAAUCCUUAUUGCUGGAUCCUCUGAUCACCUGAAGAUCACCCCUCUGGCUAAUCUCACGGGUCUCUACUCUCUCACCGUAAUGGUCACUGAUCUGGACAGCAACUCCUCUUGGACAGUAACCGGUGUAUAUGGCCCUCAGUCUGACGAAGAUAAGCGCAAUUUUUUGCUGGAGAUGCGCCAGCUGCAGACUGUAACUUCACCC